rnacentral:rRNA from 1 species
AUUGAACGCUGGCGGCAUGCCUUACACAUGCAUGUCGAACGGCAGCACGGAGCUUGCUCUGGUGGCGAGUGGCGAACGGGUGAGUAAUAUAUCGGAACGUACCCUAGAGUGGGGGAUAACGUAGCGAAAGUUACGCUAAUACCGCAUACGAUCUAAGGAUGAAAGUGGGGGAUCGCAAGACCUCAUGCUCGUGGAGCGGCCGAUAUCUGAUUAGCUAGUUGGUAGGGUAAAAGCCUACCAAGGCAUCGAUCGGUAGCUGGUCUGAGAGGACGACCAGCCACACUGGAACUGAGACACGGUCCAGACUCCUACGGGAGGCAGCAGUGGGGAAUUUUGGACAAUGGGCGAAAGCCUGAUCCAGCAAUGCCGCGUGAGUGAAGAAGGCCUUCGGGUUGUAAAGCUCUUUUGUCAGGGAAGAAACGGUGAGAGCUAAUAUCUCUUGCUAAUGACGGUACCUGAAGAAUAAGCACCGGCUAACUACGUGCCAGCAGCCGCGGUAAUACGUAGGGUGCAAGCGUUAAUCGGAAUUACUGGGCGUAAAGCGUGCGCAGGCGGUUUUGUAAGUCUGAUGUGAAAUCCCCGGGCUCAACCUGGGAAUUGCAUUGGAGACUGCAAGGCUAGAAUCUGGCAGAGGGGGGUAAAAUUCCACCGUGUACAGUGAAAUGCGUAGAUAUGUGGAAGGACCCCCGAUGGCGAAAGCAGCCCCCUGGGGUCAAGAUUGGACGCUCAUGCACCAAAAACGUGGGGAGCAAACAGGAUUAGAUACCCUGGUAGUCCACGCCCUAAACGAUGUCUACUAGUUGUCGGGUCUUAAUUGACUUGGUAACGCAGCUAACGCGUGAAGUAGACCGCCUGGGGAGUACGGUCGCAAGAUUAAAACUCAAAGGAAUUGACGGGGACCCGCACAAGCGGUGGAUGAUGUGGAUUAAUUCGAUGCAACGCGAAAAACCUUACCUACCCUUGACAUGGCUGGAAUCCUUGAGAGAUCAGGGAGUGCUCGAAAGAGAACCAGUACACAGGUGCUGCAUGGCUGUCGUCAGCUCGUGUCGUGAGAUGUUGGGUUAAGUCCCGCAACGAGCGCAACCCUUGUCAUUAGUUGCUACGAAAGGGCACUCUAAUGAGACUGCCGGUGACAAACCGGAGGAAGGUGGGGAUGACGUCAAGUCCUCAUGGCCCUUAUGGGUAGGGCUUCACACGUCAUACAAUGGUACAUACAGAGCGCCGCCAACCCGCGAGGGGGAGCUAAUCGCAGAAAGUGUAUCGUAGUCCGGAUUGUAGUCUGCAACUCGACUGCAUGAAGUUGGAAUCGCUAGUAAUCGCGGAUCAGCAUGUCGCGGUGAAUACGUUCCCGGGUCU